CACGUAGGGGACGAGCGUUGUCCGGAUUCAUUGGGCGUAAAGCGCGCGUAGGCGGCUCGGAAAGUCGGGCGUGAAAUGCCGGGGCUCAACCCCGGGACUGCGUCCGAUACUGAAAGGCUUGAAUCCGGGAGAGGGAUGUGGAAUUCCAGGUGUAGCGGUGAAAUGCGUAGAUAUCUGGAGGAACACCGGUGGCGAAGGCGGCAUCCUGGACCGGUAUUGACGCUGAGGCGCGAAAGCUAGGGGAGCAAACGGG
rnacentral:rRNA from 1 species